CAUUAUUGCUUCACUGGAGGCAGAACUCAAGUUGGUUAGAAUGGAGGUUAAUCCUUCAGAGUCUUUAAACCGGAUCAUCAAUAAAGACUAUGGCAUAACGGAUGUGCAGAAAAAAACGAAUUAUUGAUGCCCUUCGGAGUGAUGCGAGAGCGGUUAAAGCGGAGGAUCAAGAAGGGUGGGUUGACGGGGAGUGGGAGUUCUUUUACGAUAAAUGCAUGGAGCUAGAUUUGGAUCCAGACUUUUGUGUCGAGGAUGUUUACGAAGAUGAUAGUGGCUCAGACCAGUUUUUAUCGCAACUCGCAAAGACAAGUAAAUAUUUCGAUCCUGUAGUUGCGAAACCUCCUAAACGUUAAUUUUAUGUGUCUUUCGUUCCUGUUUAAUGGGUCCGUUUUUUGGGUUUUGGGUUUGUGUAUGUCUUUGUGUCGGUUGGUGUUGGGUGGUGCCCGUAAGUUGCUUUUAUUCGGAACUUUUUGUUUGAUUUUGUUUGGCUGAUGGUUGAUCUUUUUUGGCAGCAAAGCUGAUUGUU